GGCGUCACACGUCUCGAUCCCGUCGUUGCUUUAGCGGCCAACAAAUUGACGUUUUUACGGACUUUUAAUGACAACAACUACCACGAACGGGUGAUGUGACGGCUGUUGUUUACAGAGAGAUCUAGCCGUCAAGUGAUGAGACCUAAUAAUGCCGAGACCUGCAAACAUCAAUGUACAGUAUCUGGUAAAUGAACUGCUCUCUCCGUUAAAUAAGCGACGACUGUCGUCUCUGACGAGAUCUUGCGACCAAGUGAUGAGACCUAAGAUGCUGAGACCUGCAGUUGACAAGCCUCAAACAUCGAUGUACAGUAUUAAAAUAAACCGCUUCCUCAGUUAACAAAAGUCAUGCCUUCUGUAGUUGACAUCGAGCUGUCAGUGAAAGAGGAGUUUCUGAUUGCCCAUCAUCAGCCAAAUGCCUACCCAACUAGGAGUGUGAGGUUUACAAUAAAACAGAAGAGCAUUGCAUUGGAAACGAGACAUUCUACGCACCAAGGGAGCAUGGAAUAACAACCACCGAGCAUGUUGGCUUGACUUCUGAUAUCUUAAGUAACCCUUUAGAGACCAAUCAUUUCUGUAUAAUACUCACAGACGCUGCUUAUCUUUAGUGACUUUACACUCGAAUAUUUCAGGAUAACUGAAAACAAAAAACAAAAAGAUAUGGGUUGUUUUUAGAAGUGCAGAUUCUGUAUUAACAUAGGAAACAUUUGAAAUGUCAAUUGAGUGCAUUACCUAUUUUGACCUCUUGACCCUAGUUUGAACAUCAAAUCAUGUGGUUGUCUCGCAACUUCGACGACCAAUUGAGCUCAAAUUUUCACAGGUUUGUUAU